rnacentral:rRNA from 1 species
UACAGGGGGUGCAAACGUUGCUCGGAAUUAUUGGGCGUAAAGCGCGCGUAGGCGGCCGCUUAAGUCGGAUGUGAAAGCCCCUGGCUCAACUGGGGAAGUGCACCCGAAACUGAGUGGCUUGAGUACUAAAGAGGGUCGCGGAAUUCCCGGUGUAGAGGUGAAAUUCGUAGAUAUCGGGAGGAACACCGGUGGCGAAGGCGGCGACCUGGGUAGAUACUGACGCUGAGGCGCGAAAGCGUGGGUAGCAAACAGG